GACGAACGCUGGCGGCGUGCCUAAUACAUGCAAGUUGAGCGCUGAAGGUUGGUACUUGUACCAACUGGAUGAGCAGCGAACGGGUGAGUAACGCGUGGGGAAUCUGCCUUUGAGCGGGGGACAACAUUUGGAAACGAAUGCUAAUACCGCAUAAAAACUUUAAACACAAGUUUUAAGUUUGAAAGAUGCAAUUGCAUCACUCAAAGAUGAUCCCGCGUUGUAUUAGCUAGUUGGUGAGGUAAAGGCUCACCAAGGCGAUGAUACAUAGCCGACCUGAGAGGGUGAUCGGCCACAUUGGGACUGAGACACGGCCCAAACGCCUACGGGAGGCAGCAGUAGGGAAUCUUCGGCAAGAGACGAAAGUCUGACCGAGCAACGCCGCGUGAGUGAAGAAGGUUUUCGGAUCGUAAAACUCUGUUGGUAGAGAAGAACGUUGGUGAGAGUGGAAAGCUCAUCAAGUGACGGUAACUACCCAGAAAGGGACGGCUAACUACGUG
rnacentral:rRNA from 1 species